AGUGUCAAGGGAUGGGAAUCGAACCCACGACCUUCUGUUUACCAGGCAGAUGCCAUGACCACUAGGCCACAUGACC
rnacentral:tRNA from 1 species